GACGAACGCUGGCGGCGUGCUUAACACAUGCAAGUCGAGCGGUAAGGCCCUUUCGGGGGUACACGAGCGGCGAACGGGUGAGUAACACGUGGGUGACCUGCCUCUAGCUCUGGGAUAAGCCCGGGAAACUGGGUCUAAUACUGGAUAUGACUCCAUGACGCAUGUUGUGGGGUGGAAAGCCUUGUGCGGCUAGAGAUGGGGCCCGCGGCCUAUCAGCUUGUUGGGGGGUGAUGGCCUACCAAGGCGACGACGGGUAGCCGGCCUGAGAGGGCGACCGGCCACACUGGGACUGAGACACGGCCCAGACUCCUACGGGAGGCAGCAGUGGGGAAUCUUGCGCAAUGGGCGAAAGCCUGACGCAGCGACGCCGCGUGAGGGAUGACGG
rnacentral:rRNA from 1 species